AAAACGCUGCCAUUGCGACCACUCACUCCGACUUCCACCAUUACCGUCGUUCAAUCCUCCGCCAGAACGUUAGCGUUUCGUUUUUUCCGAUCAUCAACUCAGAUUCAAUUCACAGCUUCUUCAAGGGGUUUCUUUCUGGCUCUCUGUUCCGCCCUGCUUUCGUUUGGUUUUCUGUUAAUUUGCUAGUGUAAUUCGAGCUCAAAUUUCACUCAAAUUGAUGCGGUGGGAACCUUAAUGUUCUGGUUUCUUUUUGAGAAAUUUUAGGUGACGGACUCGAUUAUUCUUCUGUUUCUCGCUUUACGAGUUGCGAAACCUUGGCGUUCAAGUUCGUAGGUUAUUUUAAAUUUUAGUUUGAAUUUGGUGCUUUGAAUUAGAAGUACAAAAUGAUUAUAUAUCGUUCGCCGGUAACAUUUUUCUUUAUGCUUCCUCGUAUUACUUGCAACCACCAGAAUUCUACUUUGUUUUGAUAGCCGCUAAGUUUCGGGACCUAAGGUUGUUCUGAUCAGUUGAGCUGGACCUUACGAGUGACAGAUGAAGACGAAAUGGAAGAUGGAUCUUUUAGGCAAUCAAGGAAUUGGAAGAACGAUUGUUAAAAAAUCAUCACUAGGACAUAGGAUCAAGCCCAAUAUAAUUGUACGAGCCAAUGUCUAUAAAUAUUUAGACAUUUUAGAAAUAAAUCUACAAGUUUUUGAUCCCAAGCGUAAUAUCUACAGAGUUGUGUUCAACAACCAUUCGAGGUUCUUGGAGAAAUGAAUGACCGUGUUUCAGCGAGGGAAUCAGAGCUCGUGCUUGUGUGCUUCUCUCAGGAAGGGAGAGAUUUAUGGUGUGCUCUUGAGGCUUUAGCUCUUCAAUCAUUGUUUACUAGCUUUGGAUGUCAUAUUUUGAAUCCUCAAUUUCUGAUCAUUGAGAUUGCUUAGUCUACCUUCUUUAAUCUACUCCUCUAGUUUACUCAUUUAGGUGGUUAGUAUCUUGAUCUUAUUGGAUUUUGAUUAUGAUCACUGUAUUGAGACCAGAUUUUUGUUGUGGUGACUUUCUUCAAUGUGAUAAAGGAUAUUUUCUGGCGUUGUGUUUGUGUAGUCACAAUUGAAGGGGUUCUGGAAGAACUGUGCAAGUUUUUAACAUAGAGCUAGAUGGGCGUCCACUUGGGAUGAUGUAUGGUUAAGCUGCAUUCUAAUAUGGGUUGAUGGUGACUAGGGGUGCAGAGAAAAUGCUGCUGCAUCGUAGACUAUCUGGAUUAAACCCAGAGGUAUACGGCUACCUCAUCGCCAUGACUGUUUUGGUUAAAGAGUUUAAUGAAUUAGCAAAAGCUCUACACAAACUCGAAGUUGUGCAAGAGAGGGGAUAGUGGCUGAACUCGAAAAAGACAACAUUGAACUUGUUGAGUGGCAUCAGACAGAUUUUAGCUGAUGGUGUACAGUUAUCCAACUGGGUUCUUGAAGGGGUAAGCUCUUCAAUUCAUGGGGUGGUUCAUGAAAGACUCUUAAUGUAUGUUUCUGCUGAGCAAGGACUUGAGGCAGAGAGAUAGCUUUGGGAAACGAAGCUUGUAGGUAAGGAGGCUGAUGCUAAUCUCUAUGAUAUUGUGCUAGCUAGCCAUUUCUGUAUAAAUUGUACAAGGAAAAUAGAUAUUCUUAAAUCCUUAGUGCAGGCUCUCGUUUCUUCAGUGUCUCAAGGGUGAAGAAUCUGGUUUUCGCUGUGAAUCAAAUGCUAGAUUGAAAAAGGAAAAAAACAGUCUACUUUUUGUAGGUGGAUCGGGUCAAAUGAGAAUCAGAAUAAGACAACCAAAUAGAAAAAGGAGAAGAUCAAGUGAAUUGGGCCGGCUGUUUAAAGAAAGAGGUUGUGAAGCCUUGCUCGUGAACUCCGGAAUGUUAUGUUUGACAGCACCUUGGAUGUGGCCUUCAGAAGACAACACAUGGUCUGUCCCUUCGUUGGAUAUCCAGGUUUUACACCAUUCCAUUAUUACAAUACUCUGUUUAAUGCCAAUAAUUUCUGUGCCUAUAUGAUUGAUGCAAGACGUCUUUUCUUAUAAUGUCAGUAAAAGGAACCAACCCAUCCUUUUUUAGUGUGUCGGUGGGGUUAAUAUAUAUAGAUUAGGCCUUAACUAACACCAAAACCAUACAUUGUGUUGAGGAGAACAAAAAAGUUGACGUCAAAAUUGAGUAUAUAUGUGGCUGAACUCAUCAAAUCAACCCACCCUAUUACAGAUGAGUUCAAAUCAAACCGAACAGACUGAAGCUCUAAAAGGCUAUCUAAGUUGAAUUGCAAACAAUAAAGUCUACCCAAAAUGAUUUUCUUUAAUUUUCUCUGCUAAAGAUUCACAUGAUUGGCUGAGGCAGGCAUGGUACUGGCUAAUUGUUGUUUGUUGUGUAUAGUAUUAUUAUAUGAAGGUUCCCAUACAACACGCAGGAAAAUUCCUCCAAUAGAAUAUCCAUGUGUUUAUCUGUCCUGUUUCUGUCGCUACUCAGCUUCCAUUAUUCACAUCUUCAAACCAUUCGCUUCCCAUUCCCUUCCCCUUCUGCUUUGGCAUGUGCAAUGUGAAAGAGCUUGAUGAUUGUUCCU